rnacentral:tRNA from 1 species
UAGAAGGUAGUGUAGUGGAAGCACUUGGAGUUUUGAUCUCCUAAGUUUGGGUUCGAAUCCCUUCUUUCUAG